GGUUAUAGCUCAGUGGUAGAGUGCUUGCCUAGCACACGUGAGGCCCUGGGUUUAAUCCUCAGCACCA
rnacentral:tRNA from 1 species